AUACGGGAGGCAGCAGUAAGGAAUAUUGGUCAAUGGACACAAGUCUGAACCAGCCAUGCCGCGUGAAGGAUGACGGCCCUACGGGUUGUAAACUUCUUUUGUACGGGAAAAAACCCCUGAUCGUGAAUCGGGGCUGAUGGUACCGUAAGAAUAAGCAUCGGCUAACUCCGUGCCAGCAGCCGCGGUAAUACGGAGGAUGCAAGCGUUAUCCGGAUUCAUUGGGUUUAAAGGGUGCGCAGGCGGAAUGAUGAGUCAGUGGUGAAAUCCUACGGCUCAACUGUAGAACUGCCAUUGAUACUAUCGUUCUUGAGUACAUUUGAAGUGGGCGGAAUGUGUCAUGUAGCGGUGAAAUGCUUAGAUAUGACACAGAACACCGAUCGCGAAGGCAGCUCACUAAGUUGUAACUGACGCUCAGGCACGAAAGCGUGGGGAUCAAACAGGAUUAGAUACCCGUGUAGUC
rnacentral:rRNA from 1 species